UAACGCGUGGGUAACCUGCCUCAUACAGGGGAAUAGCAGCUGGAAACGGCUGAUAAAACCGCAUAAGCGCACAGUGCCGCAUGGCACAGUGUGAAAAACUCCGGUGGUAUGAGAUGGACCCGCGUCUGAUUAGCUGGUUGGCGGGGUAACGGCCUACCAAGGCGACGAUCAGUAGCCGGCCUGAGAGGGUGAUCGGCCACAUUGGGACUGAGACACGGCCCAA
rnacentral:rRNA from 1 species